CCGGGGCGAGCCCGCCCUCAACACCGACGCCCGUUGGCCACCCGCCCCGCUGCAGAACGCCCGGUGCCGCUGCCCCAGGGACAAGCCCGUCGGACGAAACCGCUGCCGGCAACCCAGCAUCACCAGCAAACGGAGAGCCACCUUCAGAAAGGCCUACAGAGCAGUGAAUCAUUAGCAUACAAGGUGCCCUGAAAAGUGACCCUACUAUUGACUGAUAUAAACAGCAUAAGCUGUAGCAGUGACUGGGCUAAAUUCCAUGUUGAAUUGUGAAGAUUUGGAAGUAAUAUGGUGUUCAGGAGUGGCAAACUUCAAUUCAGCACCUAUAGGAUUCAGGAACUUCUAGGGUUAACACCUUAACAGACCAUUCAGAUUGAUCAUAAGGAUUUGCUGCUUUGUUACUGAGCCACUGCAGAAUUCCCUUCCAGGGGCUUUGGGAUCCACAGUUGAGAAGCUGAAUUUUCUGUUACGUUUCAAUGAAGCUGCGGGUGUGGACUUCUUUGUUGGAGGAGGAGAGAGGAGUGAAAGAUCAUCCCUAGUUUGAACUGAAGAUGCAGAAUCUGUUGGAUGUAUUUGAAAGUCCAAAAAUAACACACUGCAUUUCUGGGGGAUGAGGAGGUCAUAAAUUCAAGAUGUAAAUUGGUCACCAGACAAGUUCUAGCAUUCAGUGGACUGUGGCUGUGGCAAAAUCAGUUGCUGAUUAUGGGAUGCUGUUAUUUAAGAAUGCGAUAUUGUCAUAAUCUGAGAACUGCGAGUAUUCUACUACUGGGGUGAUAUCUGGCCCCUCUGAAGUUAAUGGCAAAAUUCUCAUUGACUUUAAUGGACCCAGGAUUUUGUCCCUGGGAUGGAGGCAAGAUUGGUAAGACUACAUAAGCAAUUAACUGUUGCAUCUCUCUUAAUAAAACAAUACAAAGCCUGUAAUAGUUUGUAUGCACCUGAAUUAAUAUUCUGCUUAACAGUACCUUGCUGAACAAUAGGCAGCUUUCCUUUCUACUACCAAAGGCUUGAUAAAAAAAAAAAAUAAUCUUCAGGUGAAAUAGACCAUCAGUAAUUAUUACUUAUUUCACAAAUGGUCCCAUCUGCCUGGAAAAUCAGAUGUUUAUUAAAAUUACCUUUUUCCAAUGAAUCUGCAAGAUGGAGUGGAGCUUUCAUGAGAAACACUACAUGAUCUGGUGGAGUCACAUUUGAUCCUCCUGGAAGAUAAUGGGGGCUCUCCCACUCAUUUGGGAAACUUAACCUCUCUGCCUCAAUUAUUUCAUUUGCAAAAUGGGUGUAAUACUAACUUAUACUACCUCCGAGGCAUGCUGAGAAUUAGUGCUGUAAAGGCUGUACAGAUGUAAACGGCUACCAUAUGUAAAAGUUAAGUAUUAUUAUUUCAGGAUUAUGGACAGAACAUGGAAAUAAACAUUGAAAUAUUUUGAUCUUGUUUGAUUUCAAUUCUAGAACUGAGCAUAGGCUUAGAAUGUAAGGGGCGGGGAAAGGUGUGGUUUUUGUUUUUCCUUUCUGGAACAGCCAUUGUUAUAGCCCUUGUUUGACAUAAUUUAAAACAUCCAAUUGCCUAAUCAAAUUAAUCCAAACUGAUACUCUAAGGAACAGGUCUAAAGAGAGAGAAAAAAUUGAGUACAUUUAAACUAACUUUUAAAAACUUUGUGCUUUCAGGAUACAGCAGCUAUUUUGUAAAACUAGGUUGAAGUUGAAAACCCUCACAGUUUGGCAGGAUUGUGCUCUAUAUAACAAUUCUGCAGUAUAUCAGUUCAAUUUCUGUGUCUCCAUAUAGGAAACUGAAGAGAGGUAAAUGUCAACAACAUGCCAGGAUCUGAUUUAUUCUGAAAUUUCAUUUGUCCUGUAAUAUGUUCUGACAGGAAAAUUGUAGACUGCAUUGAAUGUGUAAUAUUAACAUCUUUGCCUGCAGCAAAUAUCCUUUUUGCAAUAUUAAUGCGUGGGUGAGGAAUCAAGUUUUAACCACAAAAUACAAUUGUACUGAAACUAAAGAAAAUUAAUGUUUCUUUUUCAUAAACAAUCAACAGCCUAAUUAUCUUUUUUAUGACUUAUUCCAUUUACUAAGUAAGUGUAUAAAUGACUGAAAUGAGAACUAUAAAAUAGAAAUGCAGAGACAUAUGUCACCUUAAUAAUAUUUUUAAAGUGAUAUGCUACUUUUUGUAGUAAAGCAUAGCAUGGACUAUGAUAUAUAUAACAAUGUACUGCAAAAAUGAGUUGAGUUACUAUGGCUUCAAACAAAUGAAACAAAGAAUUUGAUGAAGAUAUAAACCCUGUGUGUGUUUGUCUGUGUAUGUUCCUUCUGUGUACUGUCCCAGCUCUGUGCCAGUAGUUGACAUGACUGACUUUGAAUGUACCACCCAAUGAAUACAGGAACCAUUCGGUUAUUAAGGCAUGCACCCCGCUUUAUCAUGAGUAUCCUCUAGAUUCUGUCGGAGCACAAAUAUAUGUAUGCCCAUAAUAAUGGACCAGCUCAAUGAAUUGCAGAACAUGCCAUUCCUCCUUGGGCUAGGUGUAGAGUGGCCAGGUGUCUGGUAUUCACCCGGACAGUCCGGUAUUUUCACCUCCUGUCCGGUAAAAAAAAUUCAGAGAAUACCGGACACCUAAGAUGUCCAGUAUUUUCUGAUUUUUUCCCCCUAGCCAGG